rnacentral:rRNA from 1 species
UGAGGGAAAGGCGAAAAGAACCCCGGCGAGGGGAGUGAAAAAGAACCUGAAACCGUGUACGUACAAGCAGUGGGAGCACGCUUCGGCGUGUGACUGCGUACCUUUUGUAUAAUGGGUCAGCGACUUAUAUUCUGUAGCAAGGUUAACCGAAUAGGGGAGCCGAAGGGAAACCGAGUCUUAACUGGGCGUUAAGUUGCAGGGUAUAGACCCGAAACCCGGUGAUCUAGCCAUGGGCAGGUUGAAGGUUGGGUAACACUAACUGGAGGACCGAACCGACUAAUGUUGAAAAAUUAGCGGAUGACUUGUGGCUGGGGGUGAAAGGCCAAUCAAACCGGGAGAUAGCUGGUUCUCCCCGAAAGCUAUUUAGGUAGCGCCUCGUGAAUUCAUCUCCGGGGGUAGAGCACUGUUUCGGCAAGGGGGUCAUCCCGACUUACCAACCCGAUGCAAACUGCGAAUACCGGAGAAUGUUAUCACGGGAGACACACGGCGGGUGCUAACGUCCGUCGUGAAGAGGGAAACAACCCAGACCGCCAGCUAAGGUCCCAAAGUCAUGGUUAAGUGGGAAACGAUGUGGGAAGGCCCAGACAGCCAGGAUGUUGGCUUAGAAGCAGCCAUCAUUUAAAGAAAGCGUAAUAGCUCACUGGUCGAGUCGGCCUGCGCGGAAGAUGUAACGGGGCUAAACCAUGCACCGAAGCUGCGGCAGCGACACUAUGUGUUGUUGGGUAGGGGAGCGUUCUGUAAGCCUGUGAAGGUGUGCUGUGAGGCAUGCUGGAGGUAUCAGAAGUGCGAAUGCUGACAUAAGUAACGAUAAAGCGGGUGAAAAGCCCGCUCGCCGGAAGACC